ACACGGCGGGUGCUAACGUCCGUCGUGAAGAGGGAAACAACCCAGACCGCCAGCUAAGGUCCCAAAGUCAUGGUUAAGUGGGAAACGAUGUGGGAAGGCCCAGACAGCCAGGAUGUUGGCUUAGAAGCAGCCAUCAUUUAAAGAAAGCGUAAUAGCUCACUGGUCGAGUCGGCCUGCGCGGAAGAUGUAACGGGGCUAAACCAUGCACCGAAGCUGCGGCAGCGACGCUUAUGCGUUGUUGGGUAGGGGAGCGUUCUGUAAGCCUGCGAAGGUGGCCUGUGAGGGUUGCUGGAGGUAUCAGAAGUGCGAAUGCUGACAUAAGUAACGAUAAAGCGGGUGAAAAGCCCGCUCGCCGGAAGACCAAGGGUUCCUGUCCAACGUUAAUCGGGGCAGGGUGAGUCGACCCCUAAGGCGAGGCCGAAAGGCGUAGUCGAUGGGAAACGGGUUAAUAUUCCCGUAC
rnacentral:rRNA from 1 species